GACGGAGGAUGCAAGUGUUAUCCGGAAUCACUGGGCGUAAAGCGUCUGUAGGUGGUUUAAAAAGUCUACUGUUAAAGAUUAAAGCUUAACUUCAAAAAUGCCGUAGAAACUUUUAAACUCGAGUAUGGUAGGGGUAGAGGGAAUUUCCAGUGGAGCGGUGAAAUGCGUAGAUAUUGGAAAGACCACCAAUGGCGAAGGCACUCUACUGGGCCAUUACUGACACUGAGAGACGAAAGCUAGGGGAGCAAAUGGG
rnacentral:rRNA from 1 species